GUCACUAACUCAACCCUAAAGGGAUUGAGCUUGUAAGAAAUUGCAAGCUGUGCUGACCAGACCACCUAGUAAUAGGUAGCCGUUAUUUGAGUCACGACACCUCGGAAUGCGUAGCUAGUUCCCCGCUCUGUC
rnacentral:sRNA from 17 species